rnacentral:rRNA from 1 species
UGUAAAUUUAACUGUUAAUCCAAAGGGGUACAACCCUUUGGAAACAGGAUACAACCUUCAUUAGAGAGUAAGCAAAAACCAAUAACCAUAGUUGGCCUAAAAGCAGCCAUCAAUUAAGAAAGCGUUCAAGCUCAACAAACUACACUUAACUAAAUAUAAUAAAUAUAUUCAAACUCCUAACUCUAGACUGGACUAAUCUAUAUUUAUAUAGAAGCAAUACUGUUAAUAUGAGUAACAAGAUUUAAAUCUCCAAGCACAAGCGUAUGUCAGAACAGAUACUUAACUGACAUUUAACGGCCAAAUAAAUUUACCCUAUAAUAAAAUAUUUAUUUUUUUACCGUUAACCCAACACAGGUGUGCACUUAAGGAAAGAUUAAAAGAAGUAAAAGGAACUCGGCAAACACAAACCCCGCCUGUUUACCAAAAACAUCACCUCUAGCAUUACUAGUAUUAGAGGCACUGCCUGCCCAGUGACAAUUGUUUAACGGCCGCGGUAUCCUGACCGUGCAAAGGUAGCAUAAUCAUUUGUUCCCUAAUUAGGGACUUGUAUGAAUGGCCACACGAGGGUUUAACUGUCUCUUACUUCCAAUCAGUGAAAUUGACCUCCCCGUGAAGAGGCGGGAAUAUAAUAAUUAGACGAGAAGACCCUAUGGAGCUUUAAUUUAUCUACUCCAAUAGAAUAACCAAUAACCCACACAGGAAUAACACUUCAUUCUAACUGGAUAGAGAAUUUCGGUUGGGGUGACCUCGGAGCAUAAAACAACCUCCGAGAAUUUCUACUAAGACUAACAAGUCAAAGUACUACACACAUAAUUGAUCCAGUCUAACUGAUCAACGGAACAAGUUACCCUAGGGAUAACAGCGCAAUCCUAUUCUAGAGUCCCUAUCGACAAUAGGGUUUACGACCUCGAUGUUGGAUCAGGACAUCCCAAUGGUGUAGCAGCUAUUAAUGGUUCGUUU